rnacentral:rRNA from 1 species
UACGUAGGUGGCAAGCGUUGUCCGGAUUUACUGGGCGUAAAGGGCGUGCAGGCGGUUUGUUAAGUGCAGGGUGAAAGCUCCCGGCUCAACUGGGAGAGGUCCUUGCAUACUGGCAGACUUGAGGGAGGCAGAGGAAAGUGGAAUUCCCGGUGUAGUGGUGAUAUGCGUAGAUAUCAGGAGGAACACCUGUGGUGUAGACAGCUUACUGGACCACUUCUGACGCUGAGACACGAAAGCGUGGGUAGCAAACAGG